GUGCCAGCCGCCGCGGUAAUACGGAGGGUGCGAGCGUUGUUCGGAAUCACUGGGCGUAAAGCGCGUGUAGGCGGCUUCUUAAGUCCGAUGUGAAAGCCCGGGGCUCACCCCCGGAAGUGCAUUGGAUACUGGGAAGCUGGAGUACCGGAGAGGAGGGUGGAAUUCCUGGUGUAGCGGUGAAAUGCGUAGAUAUCAGGAGGAACACCUGUGGCGAAGGCGGCCCUCUGGACGGAUACUGACGCUGAGACGCGAAAGCGUGGGGAGCAAACAGGAUUAGAUACCCCGGUAGUCC
rnacentral:rRNA from 1 species